UACAGAGGGUGCAACCGUUGCUCGGAAUCAUUGGGCGUAAAGCGCACGUAGGCGGCUUUCUAAGUCGGAGGUGAAAUCCUGGAGCUCAACUCCAGAACUGCCUUCGAUACUGGAGAGCUCGAGUCCGGGAGAGGUGAGUGGAACUGCGAGUGUAGAGGCGAAAUUCGUAGAUAUUCGCAAGAACACCAGUGGCGAAGGCGGCUCACUGGCCCGGUACUGACGCUGAGGUGCGAAAGCGUGGGGAGCAAACAGG
rnacentral:rRNA from 1 species